GUGCUCGCUUUGGCGGCACAUACACUAAAAUUGGAACGAUACACAGAAGAUUAGCAUGGCCCCCACGCAAGGAUGACCCGCAAAUUCGUGAAGCGUUCCAUAUUUAA
ensembl:snRNA U6 U6 spliceosomal RNA